rnacentral:tRNA from 1 species
GGGCUCAUAGUAAAAUGGUAUUACGCACCCUUCGCAUGGGUGAGGUCCGGGUUCAAUCCCCGGUGAGUCCA